UUUGUGUUAAAAUAUGUUCUGUUAAUGUGUGUUAAGACUGAAGGCAAUUGCACCUGAAGUCUUUUGAUUAAUGGAUGUAAAGGCUCGAAUAUUCCUUAUAGAUGUGUAUCUUGAAUAAGUAUGAUGUAUUUUUAUAUUCCUCCUUAACAUGCCAAGUAAUUAAUGGUUAUAUUUCACACAUUUAUUUUUGAGUUUAAGUUUUGAUUCAUAUUUUCUACUUACAUUUUUGAUGUUUUGA